rnacentral:pre_miRNA from 1 species
AAUAGAUGACGCUAUUAACUUUUUUUCACAUGUUUGACCAUUCGUCUUAUUUAAAAAAUUUAUGUAAUUAUAAUUUAUUUUGUUAUGAGUUGUUUUAUCAUUCAUAGUACUUUAAGUGUGAUUUAUAUCUUAUACAUUUGCAUAAAAUUUUUGAAUAAGACGAAUAGUCAAACAUGUGAGAAAAAGUCGACGGCGUCAUCUAUU